UGCAGAGAGUCUCGCAAUAAAGUCGUAAGAAGUCUUGGUCGUGAGGUUCGACGCGGGGCAAAAUCGUAGAUAUGGCUGAUUUUCGAGUCGCCGGGGCGAAAAUUGGACGUCGAAAAAUGAAUUUUGGUAUCAGGAGAAUAUGAUGAGCAAGGAGCCAGGGAAUCAGGAGACUAUACGCAAACGUUAGUAACUCGUCGAAAAAAAAAAAAAAGACGGGCGAAGCGUCCCAUUGGUUGCUCGGCGCCAUCAUGCUUUUUGGCGCCUGGAACCAAUAGGAAGCCGCGAAAAAGCUCGGAGCAAACUCGUCUCCUAUUUCGACGAGUUACUAACGUUUGCGCAUCAUCCCCCAAUUUCAAAAUGGACCCCGCCGCCGGAUUGAACAUGAAUCAAAUUGGCAGAGCAGAUGUUAAUUUAAACGGGUUAAUUAAUAGUAUAUUCGGACGAAUAAAGAUUUUUUAUACAGCAGUGCAUUGAGUGAGUCUUGCGAAAUUGUUCAGCAUAUGAAUUAAUAAUUGAUUUGUUUUCAGGAAUAGUUUGAAAAUCAACGGUAUGGCACUGCGAGUAUAUCACGUUAUUUUGCGAAUGCUCAACCUAUACUCUAACGAUUGUAUGACAGCUCCCAGGCGAUUGCACCAGAUGAGAUUCCUAUGCGUGCUGACACUCAAUUAUACAAUUAGUAAAGUGAAUACUACUGGAAGUAAAUGUCACCAUUUCGGAGUAAAAGAAUCAAAGUGCUACCUCAAGAGCAGAGGGGCUAGACUGACAGCUAGAACAUUGGAUUCAAUCUAGAGAAAAGUCUUAUCAUACUUGGUCGAACUGUAUUUUUCCCAGAGGAGAAUGAAAAGCUGAAACGACGGAGUCCUUGCGGUAUACGUCAGAUGUUAUUAUUACACCCCUGUGUACCUUGGCAAAAAGUCAGUGCCAGUGUGUCGCUGGGCAAGGUACAGCUGCCCACCGCAAGCAUGUUGUUGCUCUGCUUUUGGAAACGACACAGAGAGUUUGAGGAAGAGGAGAUACAUGUAUCAUUUCAAGAACCGCAGUCAUUCCACAACCCAUGGUUAUGGAAUGCAAAUCAGUUGGAAAAACUUGGAGGCCUAUACAAGAAGAAUUAUAACCACGGGAUCCAAAAUGCGUGCAUCAACUUGCAUAGAUCUUAUAACUUUCAAGCAUACUAUUAUGUCGGUCAACGCAUUUCAAAUUAUUUUCAAAUUUUCGAUCAAAUAAUUAGCAAUAACUCGAUCAAUUUCAUAGAUGAAAUUAUUCUGCUUGCAGAUUCGGAUUCCUGAGAUCAAAAUACAUCAGAAUAGCAUGAGGAGCCCUUCGAAAAAAAUCGGAAUCUUCAUCUCAGAUAUUGAGAAAAUCCCAAGGCUGUAGGCUUACUGUUUUUUUCGGCAAAGAAGUGAAAGAUUGCCCAGAAUAAUUCCAGGACGCUUUUUUCACAUCAAAGAGGGUAUCGAACACGAACCCGUCAAUCAAAUGGAGCCAGCAUUGAAUCCCAUUGAGAUAUUCUUGAUUUUUCACUUUUUCAAUCGAUUAAUUGGCGAUAACUCGAUCAAUUUCAUAGAUGGAAUUAUUUUGCUUGCAGAUUCGGAUUCCUGAGAUCAAAAUAUAUGAGGAUAGCGUAAG